rnacentral:rRNA from 1 species
CCUACGGGUGGCAGCAGUGGGGAAUAUUGCACAAUGGGCGCAAGCCUGAUGCAGCAACGCCGCGUGAGGGAAGAAGUCUUUCGGGUUGUAAACUUCUAUCAGGAGGGAAGAGCAGAACACGGUACCUCUUGAAUAAGCCACGGCUAACUACGUGCCAGCAGCCGCGGUAAGACGUAGGUGGCAAGCGUUGUGCGGAUUUACUGGGUGUAAGGGGCGUGCAGACGGGAAGACAAGUCAGAUGUGAAAUCCCGCGGCUCAACCGCGGAACUGCAUUUGAAACUGUUUUUCUAGAGUACCGGAGAGGUCAUCGGAAUUCCUUGUGUAGCGGUGAAAUGCGUAGAUAUAAGGAAGAACACCAGUGGCGAAGGCGGAUGACUGGACGGCAACUGACGGUGAGGCGCGAAAGCGUGGGGAGCAAACAGGAUUAGAUACCCCUGUAGUC